GCACGAGAAGUGGAGCAAUCCAUGAGUAAAGUGGCGUACGGGUGAGUAACACGUGGAUCAUCUACCUUCUAGUGGGGAAUACCCCUGGGAAACCGGGGACAAUACCGCAUAAGCUCGUAAGAGGAAAGCAGCAAUGCGCUGGAAGAGGAGUCCGCGGCUGAUUAGCUAGUUGGCGGGGUAACGGCCCACCAAGGCGAAGAUCGGUAGCCGGCCUGAGAGGGCACACGGCCACACUGGCACUGAAACACGGGCCAGACUCCUACGGGAGGCAGCAGUGGGGAAUCUUGCACAAUGGAGGAAACUCUGAUGCAGCGACGCCGCGUGAGCGAUGAAGCCCUUCGGGGUGUAAAGCUCUUUCGACGGGAACGAUAAUGACGGUACCCGAAGAAGAAGCUGCGGCUAACUACGUGCCAGCAGCCGCGGUAAUACGUAGGCAGCAAGCGUUGUUCGGAAUUACUGGGCGUAAAGAGUGCGUAGGCGGUGCUCUAAGUCUGUUGUGAAAUCUCCCGGCUCAACUGGGAGGGUGCGGCGGAAACUGGAGUGCUCGAGUGUGGGAGAGGUAAGCGGAAUUCCUGGUGUAGCGGUGAAAUGCGUAGAUAUCAGGAGGAACACCUGUGGUGUAGACAGCUUACUGGACCACGACUGACGCUGAGGCACGAAAGCGUGGGUAGCAAACAGGAUUAGAUACCCUGGUAGUCCACGCUCCUAACGAUGCAUACUUGGUGUGAGCGAUUCAUUUCGUUCGUGCC
rnacentral:rRNA from 1 species